UACGUAGGGGGCAAGCGUUGUCCGGAUUUAUUGGGCGUAAAGAGCUCGUAGGCGGUCUGUCGCGUCGAUCGUGAAAACUUGGGGCUUAACCCUGAGCUUGCGGUCGAUACGGGCAUGACUGGAGUUCGGCAGGGGAGACUGGAAUUCCUGGUGUAGCGGUGAAAUGCGCAGAUAUCAGGAGGAACACCGGUGGCGAAGGCGGGUCUCUGGGCCGAUACUGACGCUGAGGAGCGAAAGCGUGGGGAGCGAACGGG
rnacentral:rRNA from 1 species